rnacentral:lncRNA from 1 species
GGCUAAAUCGGACAGACUUGUGCAGUAUAGCAGCAGGUUAAAGUUUGCGUUGAAGCUAUUUUCUUAUAAAAACAGGAAAAUCUUAUUAAUGGAAGAGCUAAAGCAGAUUGGGGGAGGACUAUAAAAACCAUAGCUGUCAGAAAAAAUAAAUCUGCGUUGAUCAGAAAAUCUAGAACUGUAACAGCAAAGAAAAGAAGAAUUAAAAGAAAAUCAACUUACGGAUGAAAAUAAAGAGCAGAAAAGUGAAUAUAGAAAGCAGUAGCAGCAGAUGAAUCCAAGUUUAAUAAAGCAUCUUAGGCAAUAGCAAGAAGAACAACAGUAGCAACAGAGCAACAACAAAAUAAAAGCAGAUUGAGCUGAAUCAACCUCUUAAUAGCAGAAACAUUGAGUCAAAAAUAAAAUAAAACUAUUUUCUUUUUCAAAAUCUACUUUGACACUCAAGAAAAGGAAAGAAAUUAGUGUGAAAUAAAGAAAUCUUUUGAUUCCUUUAAAUUGAACAUGCUGAAACUUUUAUAACAAGCUUAUAAUU